UAUAGAUUGUUCUGCCUAUUUGUCCAAUAAUUUUAAAAAAGGAAAUGCCCUAAGGAAAGAAGUGACACAACACCGCAGCCAAGUAAAAAACCAAGUUUGGGCCCUUGUUCCAUUUCCCUCUGUACGGAUACUACAGUGCAGUCAACUGUAACAGCAACAACAGGUUUCAUCUCAAUUGCCCCAAUGUUUAUGGAACCAGCCAGUUCAACCGAGAUUAAACCAGGUGUUGCUGUUACCAUCCCAUCUACAACUACCACCAUUCCUGAGACUGCUAUUCAAGAAAACACUUCGACAACUGGCUGGGAAACUGACCUGAAAAAAAUUUGUUUUCCCCUGUUGUGGACCUACCAGAAGAUUGGUGAAAAUUUAUUUUCUUUGUUUCAAACGGCAAACCUCGACGGAACAAUCAAGAUUGUAAAAGGGAUAACUCUCAACCAAGAUUUUCUCAGCUACAGUGUCAACGGCAAAUGUUACACACCAAAUUUUUUUCCAAGCAGCGUCGCAACGGCUGUCGAAUUACAACAAAUUAUUGAGAAAUUUGAUGAAGCAAAAAUCUGCAUAGGUGUUUUCAUUGCGGAAAACUUAAAACUUACAUAGAAACUCCUUGAAAGAGGCACAUUUUAUAAAGAAGUGCAAAGUAGUAAUUACUGGAAAUCAAACCGAUGUGAAACACUACUAUUUGAUCAUACAGUGCAGGAAAAGUCCACAUCAUCAGUGCCAAAAAAAUGCAAAUCAUCUACAGUGCAGGAAGAAUUGAAAUCCUCAACAGUGCAGAGCUGUGGUUGUUGUCAAAAGUUGAAGGCUUAUGCAGCAAAAUGGAUGUGGAAAGAAAAAAAUCAAGGUUGUGGGAAAAUUGCGCGUUGUAGGAUGACUAUCAAGAAUUCAAAAAGAAUUCUGUCGCGCAAGUUUACAAAAUUGAAUGGACUUACAGCUGAAAUAACGGCUUUACAGAAGU